rnacentral:rRNA from 1 species
GACGAACGCUGGCGGCGUGCUUAACACAUGCAAGUCGAACGGAAAGGCCCUGCUUUUGUGGGGUGCUCGAGUGGCGAACGGGUGAGUAACACGUGAGUAACCUGCCCUUGACUUUGGGAUAACUUCAGGAAACUGGGGCUAAUACCGGAUAGGAGCUCCUGCUGCAUGGUGGGGGUUGGAAAGUUUCGGCGGUUGGGGAUGGACUCGCGGCUUAUCAGCUUGUUGGUGGGGUAGUGGCUUACCAAGGCUUUGACGGGUAGCCGGACUGAGAGGGUGACCGGCCACAUUGGGACUGAGAUACGGCACAGACUCCUACGGGAGGCAGCAGUGGGGAAUAGUGCACAAUGGGCGGAAGCCUGAUGAAGAAACGCCGCGUGCGGGAUGACGGCCUUCGGGUUGUAAACCGCUUUCGCCUGUGACGAAGCGUGAGUGACGGUAAUGGGUAAAGAAGCACCGGCUAACUACGUG